GGAGAGCUGUCAGACUAGUACACAAAAUAUUAAGGCUAAUUACAAACAUCUUUCUGUCAAUAAGAACCAGUCUCAGCUUGAAAUAGAUUAAAAGGGACACAUAAUGAGAUUUAAAAUUCAGACAGCUUUUCAGCUAGAAGGUGGCCAUCACAACUUGUGCUUUUUGGAACAACCGAAUAUUAAUUCCUCUAUGUAUCUAUGUCAAGCUGCAUGUGCUGUUAUAUGACACUUGAUCUCUAAUUGUUUUCUUUCUUCUUUCUCAGCUUCUAUUUUCUUCUUAACCAACUGCAGAGACAUAGAAACCCAUGGUUGAUGUGUACACAUCUCUGAUGUCGGUUGGGUGUCUGCCAUGGCAUCGAACGUCAGUAUGAGACCUUGCAUAACGUCCCUGUUCUUAGUGCUAUGACACAGGAACAGAACCAGGUCAAGUCAUCAGACUCCUUAUUUUCUUCAUAUUAUUUUAACCAGACUAUUCUGAUCUCUGAGACCUAAACUGUUGAUGGAUUUUGAUGGAAUAAAAAUACUUCUGAUAUGCUGAAUAGAUUUCCCUACCUCUUCAGUUAGACAAACUGUUAUUUAUAUUCUAGGUUAAAAACUUCAGUCUCUCAGUGCCAAUAUUAAGGUCUCCAUGCUUUUUCCUGUAUAAGUUUAUUUUUCUGCCUCUCUUGUCUCAAUAGUAUUUCUCGAAGUUGUGAUGUAUUCCUUAUACCUUUUGUCUGUGAGGAUUGUGUUGCUUCAUGAGCACAGUUUUGCCUCUGAAUUAGCAAAUGUAUCCUUCCUUUCCUUCCAGAAUGAGUUUAAAUACAUAUCCAAUCUUUGAGUCAAAACAGCAGGGACCAGCAGCUAGUUUUAGCCAGGGGUGAGGGCUUCAGUCUCGCUUGGAAAAGGCUUGGACUUGGGCUUUGCCCCUCUCUCCUGACUCCUCAUGGAGACAUGAUGAGCUUGCCUGACCAUCAGGCUCAGAAGAGGGUCUCCUGCACACUCUGUAGGGAACUGUAAGUGAAUUCAAAAAGGUAACUGACAGCUAAAUUUGGCAAUUUGCUUUGUUCCUGUGUGUUUUAGUAGCCUCAUCUGUAAAAUGGGAAUAAUGUGUGUGUUAUCAUUUCACAUCAAUGCAUUGAAAUUGGUUUAUAAGAGCUAAAUGUGAAGAUGGUUACUCUCUCUUUAGAAAGAAUGCUUUGAUUUGGGAUAGGUUUUUGUUCUUACGGAAUUCUUCUGUUUCAGAAAGCGCAGCUCCAAGGGGUUUUUAUUAAACUCAUCUGUCAGAAUAGAAAUACUUCCUGGAGACCAGUGGAUUGCAGGGGACGCGUUCGAUGAAUGUGUGCAUAUUAUGUCCAUAAAUGUUUGUUAGAGGAAUUAUUCCCAACUGAUAUGACAAAGAUAUGAAAAAUUAGAUCACAAAUCUCAUUAACGCUGCAGACACUGAAAGAGAAAUGAAGCCAAUUAAUGUUGAUAGCACUUGUCAGAAGAAUGUCAUGCUUCUCUUCUUAAUGCCAGUCACAUACCUGGAGCUGAACGACUCCACAGAUGAUGACUUUCCUCUCAUCAGGAGCGAGCUUGGCUUACAUCAAAUCUGCAACAAACUGAUGGGAUAUCCUUAACCUGUUCCGGUUGUAUCCAUGUACCUCAACUGGGUACUUGCAUUCACUAGUUAAGAAAAACAAGACGUCUCACAGGAUCUCUGGGUGUUGAAAUGGAAAUACACGUUUCUCUAACUUCAGCACUGAAAUAGAUAUUAAUGCAGGUGCUCUAGCUGAAAUACUGUUAUAAUGGCUUCGAGUUGGUUGUUUUCCCUGCUCAUUUUACAAGAGCCUGGAUGAAAACUGGGAAGGAAAUGAAUGAUAAUCUUGUAGAGCAGCAGUGGAGUAGAUGGGCCAUCAGCUCAGGGAUGCAAUUUGGUUUAGGUCUUUCAUGUGGAAUUAGGGUCAUUACUGUGAUUUAGCAAGGAACAUAUGGUUUCUUACGUGGUCUAGUGUGAGGAGUCCCUGCCUAUGGCAGAGGGCUGGAACUAGAUGACCUUAAGGUCCUUUCCAACCCAACCCAGUCUAUGAUUCUAUAUGCACAAGUGAACCCAGAAACUACAGAAAAUGCAAUUUUCAGAACUUAUUCCUAUAAUACACUUGCACUAAAUUGGAUUGUGGGUGAACAAAGGAGUUAAUCUUGAAUUCAGUGCUGUUGUCCUGCUCUGUGUUCUGUUGGAAACACAGGCGGUUUGUUUCUCUUUUGCAACUUACUCAAUAAAUAUUUUGGCAUGCCUG